rnacentral:rRNA from 1 species
CCUACGGGAGGCAGCAGUGAGGAAUAUUGGUCAAUGGGAGAGAUCCUGAACCAGCCAAGCCGCGUGAGGGAAGACGGCCCUAUGGGUUGUAAACCUCUUUUGUCGGAGAACAAAACCCGGGACGUGUCCCGGACUGCGUGUAUCCGACGAAAAAGCAUCGGCUAACUCCGUGCCAGCAGCCGCGGUAAUACGGGAGGUCCGGGCGUUAGCCGGAUUUAUUGGGUUUAAAGGGAGCGUAGGCCGCAUUUCAAGCGUGCUGUGAAAUGGCCGGGCUCAACCCGGGCCUUGCAGCGCGAACUGGCGUGUGGGAGUCCGCGGAAAGCAGGCGGAAUUCGUCGGGUAGCGGUGAAAUGCUUAGAUAUGACGAAGAACCCCGAUUGCGAAGGCAGCGUGCUGCAGCGGAACUGACGCUGAUGCUCGAAAGCGCGGGUAUCGAACAGGAUUAGAUACCCCAGUAGUC